rnacentral:rRNA from 1 species
UACGUAGGGGGCUAGCGUUGUCCGGAAUCAUUGGGCGUAAAGAGCGCGUAGGCGGCCAGAUAAGUCCGGUGUGAAAGUCACAGGCUCAACCUGUGAAUGCCGCUGGAAACUGUCUGGCUAGAGUCCGGAAGAGGCGAGUGGAAUUCCUGGUGUAGCGGUGAAAUGCGCAGAUAUCAGGAAGAACACCCGUGGCGAAGGCGGCUCUCUGGGACGGUACUGACGCUGAGACGCGAAAGCGUGGGGAGCGAACAGG